rnacentral:lncRNA from 1 species
AGUUCACUGAAUGCUCCCAGCUGUCUGCUUCCUACCUGAGGCCCUUCGUACCUGCUGCACAACUGCCCGGAACCCUCUCUAGCCCAUUUCAUAUGGCUAACUUCUCUCAUCCUUUCCAUCACAGCUAAAUGCCAUUUCCCCAGAGAAGCAGUCUGACCCUCAAGACUUGAUUAGGCCCAUCUAUUAUUUGUUCUCAAUGCAACCUACAUUUUCCUGCCUGCGACUUCAUAGCAAAUUGUAAGUAAUUAUGUAUGUAAUUAGUCCCCAUGUAUUAGGCAGAAUUCUGUCAUAUGCAAAUGACAGAAAACUCAAACUAGCUGGAACGAAAAGAGUGGAAUGUCUUGGGUAGCUGGAAAGGGUGUGAGUGCGACUCAGAAUGGAAGGACAGACGGAUUGCAGCCACCGGGGCCUCAGGGAGAGGACAGGGUCUCCACACAGUCAGAUUCUUUCUCUCUCCUCAUCUCUGAGGUUUGCUUGACCUCCUCUGCUAAUACUGCACAUAUGGAGGGAACAUGGUCACUGGCAUCUCCAGGUCCACACCUCACAGCUGCUGGAAAGGUGUGAUCCCCCUGCAUGAGUCAAAUACCCACCCACAGAACUGUCUCCACCUAGGACGUGGAGAUGGGCUACUGUGAAUGGCUGGGCCGUGGUCAUGUGCUCACCCUGCUCAGCACUGCCACUGAGAGGGCCCUCAGUGUCACAUGACCUGGAAGGGCAGUGCUACUCCUCAAAGGAUGUGUUAGGGUGCGGCAGGCCCACAACAUUUGUAUCUUUUUUAAUGCUAUAUCCCCCACAAAUACUUACAGAUAUUUUCUACUAGGUGUCAGCCACUGUUCUAGGUAGUAGAGGAUAUGAAAGUAAAAUCUAAGUUCUUGCUUGCAUUAGAGCUUAUACUGGAAUGGGGGAAGACAGAAAGCAAGCAUGUUAAUAAUCACAAAUGUCUCAGGUGGUGAUAUGUGCUCUGGAGAAGAACAAAACCGGGUACAGAGGGUGGGGGAUGGUGAAGGGACACUAUAUUCCGCAGCAUGGUUAGAGAUGGCAUGUUGAAAGUGGCACAGGCAGUACCAGAUGGUGAGGCUCUUCCGUGUUGUUCUGAUGGAUUGGAACUGAGUCCUCCUGCCCGGCUUUCUCCCUCCUUUUCUUCUCUCCCUUCCUCUGUUCAUUCUUUUGCAGUUUUUCUUAAAAUGUAGUCUUUAGAUUGUAUGUAUCAGAAUACCCACUGGGGGCAGGAUACUUGUCAAAAAUGCAGGUUCCCAGGCCUCUCCCAAGACCCAGAGAUUCAGACUCUCCGAGGUGAGGCCUGAGAAUCUGAAUCAUUAACCAGCUCUCCAGGCGGCUCUUAGGCACAUUCACAUUUGACAACUAUUCUCUGAGGUGGUAAUGAGAUAAGAGAGGCUCUGAAUAGGGAAGAAAACUGAUCUCACUUGUGUUUUAGAAAGAUAGGUCUGAAAUCUACACAGAGGGUGGCUGCAGGCCCAGAGACUGGGCUGUUGUCGAGGUCCCAGAGACCAAGAGAAAACAUGUGGCCAGAGGUGCUGGGACAGAGAGAAUGUUUAGGUGACAAAUGGAAAGGAACUGGUGACUGCUUGAGUGUGGGGAUGAAGGAGAAGAAGUGGUUCAAAGGCUUCCUCUGGUCUGACUAGGGUAUGUGGGGGUAGCAAUACCAUUCACCCAAAUGGGAAGUGCAAACAUCGCUGACACUGCACUUCUUUAUUUAAAUACUCUACAACCAAGAAGUAAUUUUAGAGUCCCAUAUUAGAGGAGUAGCUUUUGACUACAUUGAGCAGUUGGAUACAAACGUUCUUAAUUGUUUAUUUUCUUUCUUAUCUUCCUAGUAUUUCUACUUUUUUGAGCUUCUGAACCUUUACCCAAAAGGAGUUGGUGUUAACGACUUGUUUUUGUAAUCUCUGAUAUUAGUGUGAUUCAUUUGCCAAGGGGAGACCAUUAAGAAGGAGCCAACUUCAUCUCCAUGGCAUGGAGUGAGAGGUGGGGAAUGAUACUGAAGAGCUAAGAGAUUCAAUGCACUAAGAAUAUGGUGACCAGAACUUCUGGUUGUUCCAACUGGGAAUCUUGGGUGAAGUUGGCUGCUCUGUUGGAGAAAGCUCCCCAUUCCCACAUACCUGUAUAGAAUCCUGUAGGAUAGGGGAUAUUUCCUUAUCUCUCUUCACUCUCCUCCAAAGCUCCAAUGGAUGUAUUCUAGGUACAACUAGCUAAUAAUUGAGUGUAAGAAUUAUAUUAGAUAAUGCUUAAAAAAUUCUUGGCACUCCAUGCCACUCCACUUCAUUUCCUCAAUGAAGGAGGCUGGGCAGAUAUUACUAGCCUCCUUCUACACAUUCAGAGAAAUGAAGUGACUUGCCUGCGAUCACAGAGCCAAGAUAAAGAUCUGGCUUCAAAUCUUGGCCAGUUGUAUUUUAAAGUUUCUGUGUUUUUCACCACAGAGUAGGUGAGGCUGGGCAAACUGUGAGGACCUCAGUUAAACAGGCUGGUGCUGGGGAUGGCUUCUAUGCCAGGAGGAAAGAUCAUGACUAGUCUGAGAAGCUGAAGCAGCAGCCAUCUGAUCCUCUACUCCAUGGUGGCCCUUUCCAGACUACAGACUGUGGUUUCUCUGCUCAUCAGCAAUCAAAUCUAAAUUAUCUCCGAUAUUUGUUCAAUAACUCAGACGUGCUAAGGUUAGCUGUCUUAUAAAUUAUGGAACAGUUUAACUGAGUUAAGCCUGAGGCAUAAAUAACAGAGACUCUCCACCCAGUGACAGGGCACAAGGCUGGAGGCAGCAAAAACACAGUAAUAGUGACAGAAAAAAGGACUAUCUUCCUCUUUUAGGAGAAGCCUGACAGGGAGGAGGAAAGUAGAUGAGAAGGGGGCUAGGCAGGAGGGAAUUCCAGGACGAGGGGAUGACAGAGCAAAGGAAACAGGCCCUGGGGAAGAGGAGGAGCUUUGUGGAGGCAGAAGCUCAGUUUACUGGUGAACAUGAAAUCAUCCUUGGGGGUGUCUGUGGGACGUCCAGUGGAGGUGUCUGAUGAGUGCCUGAACACAUGGGUUACCGCUUCUCUGUUAAAAUGUGGGAAACAGCUAUAAUGCAUAAGAUAUGAGUGGUAGCUACGACCAUGGGGGAAAAACAAGGUCAUGGAAAGCAUAUAGAGUAAGGAAAGAAAAGAAAAUUGGUGAGAAUGGAACAUCAGCAAUUGAGUAUACAGGAGAAAGAUAAGCCAGUCAUAGAGACAGAGACAGAAAGGCUAGAAUCUGAACAGAAAAAAAGUUCUACCAGAGUUCAGAAUCCUGAGGGAGGAGGAUGCAGCCAUUGCUAGAUAUGGGGAAAUAGACAAAAGCAGAGAAAAAAUACCCUGACUGCUCUCCUCCUGCCCACCAAUCUCCCAUUGGAUGAACCCAAUCUGAAGUCAACCAGUAAAGGGGUCCCAAGUAAUGCAAUCCACAAGGCCUGACUCUCAAAGAUGCAAGUCCUUGAGGGCAUCUGCUAUUUCCUACAUUCUGGAAAUGAGAGUUUUGAGAACAUAGGAGUGCUCAGGGAACAAUGUCAAAUGAUACUAAGGCUCCUUCACUGGAAGUCUUUGAUGGUUUUGGAGGAAGAAGCUUUGGUAAAAUGGUUGGAGCUGAAGCUUGACUGCUGGGUGGGGAGACUGUGGAGACUGUGAAAUUAGGUUAUUUUUCAGGAAGUUUGAGAAGGAAGGCUUUUUGUUAAGAGGGAUAGUUAAGACUGCCUGUGUAAAGUACCCACCAAAUGUGCAAUCCUGCCACCUUCAUGAGAGAAGCCCUACAGUCUGGCUGGUGCCCUGGGUUGUAAAUCUGAGGUCCACAGAGAUUCAGUAACUUGCCCAACAUCACCAGAUUUCAAACGGUGGGAAUAGGUAUGAAAUGCGUUCUGGUUCUAGUGCCAAGGUUAUUUAACCCUUGUUCCAUGAGGCAAGUAGGCUGAGGAUUCUGGAAUCCCAGAACUCAGACAUCAUAUCCUUUUUUUUUUUUGACGUCUACUUAAUAGCACCCAAAGAGAAAACAGGGGUCUAGAGACAUUGUGCAUCUCGUACAAGGUCAUGUGCCUAUUUACCAGGAACUUUCCCAUAAAAUAUUUUAUUUAAUCAUUUCAAAUAUUGUGAGAUAAACACCAUUAGUCCUAUUGUAUAGACAAGGAAAUGGAAGACAUUUAUUGGGCAAUUGCUCUGUAGUGGACAUUGUAAUACUCACCAUGGAGGAUACAGUGCUUCUUACAAAGAGUUUCCCUUUCAGAUGCUAGACCAGACUUAUGUACCAAAUUCUAACCCGGAAGGUAGAUUGUGACAAAUGCCAUUUGGCUACUGCAAUCCUGAGUGUCCACGAUUAAAAACAAUGUGGUGGGCGGGCGGAGGCCUUUGCUUCUGGCUGCAAUCGUCAUGGAAGAGUUGGUAACUGCACUAAGCUAAAACUGGUGAUGAACAGGCCAGAAGUGAAUGAGUCAGAAUCCUUUUUGAAGUGACAAAAACCCAACUCAAAGCAGCUUAAGAAACAAACAAAAGAGAGAGAACUUACUGGGUUACAUAACUGAGAAGUCCAGGAAUAAUACAGCUGUUCUUGGCAGGCCUCCAUCCAGGAGCUCAGCUUGUGAGUAGCAAAAAGAGUGAAGAUUCUAGAGUCAGGAGAUCAAGGUUCAAAAUCCUGUUUAGUGACUUAUGCCUGUUCAAGUCAUGUGUGUGUGUGAAUGCGUGCGCAUGCAUGCACAUUUGCAAACAUGUAUAGGGGAUGGGAAGGUAGCGGCAUGGGACCCUGAGCACUCGGGAAGCUGUCAAGAGCCAAGUUUGUCCUCAGAGCUUCACAUCCAAGAUCUAGUUCAUCCUCACAACCCCGUGAAAGUGGGAUACCUGCCCUUCCUUGCAUUUUACACAUGAGGAAAUUGAGGCUCAGAGAGGUUAAAUUACUUGCUCAAAUUCCACAGCUAGUGACAUUAAUUGGGUUUGAAAUGGGGUAUUUCUGAUAUCAAAGCUCUGAAAUAACAGUUGACAUUGCUGAGGGUUAGAUUUUUCAUCUGUAGAUGGGAGUAAAUAAUGGUGCCUUCUUCAUGGUUCUCAAUGAUACUGGGACAUUAAAAGGAAGUAAUGCAGGG